rnacentral:rRNA from 1 species
GGUGCGACGUCUGACCUGCAAGUCGAACGGUAGGGAGCAAUCCCUACAGUGGCGAACGGCUGAGUAACACGUAGGAACCUACCCCCCAGUUCGGGACAACGGGCCGAAAGGCCCGCUAAUACCGGAUAAUACCGCAAGGUUGAAAGGUUUACCGCUGGGAGAGGGGCCUGCGGCGUAUUAGCUUGAUGGUGAGGUAACGGCUCACCAUGGCGAUGAUGCGUAGCUGGUCUGAGAGGAUGAUCAGCCAGACUGGGACUGAGACACGGCCCAGACUCCUACGGGAGGCAGCAGUUCAGAAUCUUGCGCAAUGGGCGAAAGCCUGACGCAGCGAUGCCGCGUGAGCGAUGAAGGCCUUCGGGUCGUAAAGCUCUGUCAGAGGGAACGAUUAUGACGGUACCCUCAGAGGAAGCCACGGCUAAUUACGUGCCAGCAGCCGCGGUAAUACGUAAGUGGCGAGCGUUAUCCGGAAUCACUGGGCGUAAAGCGUUCGUAGGCGGCGCGGAUAGUUGGAUUUGAAAGCCCGGGGCUUAACUCCGGACCCGGAUCCAAAACUCCCGUGCUUGAGCAUAUCAGAGGGCAGUGGAAUUCCCGGUGUAGCGGUAAUAUGCGUAGAUAUCGGGAGGAACACCAGUGGCGAAGGCGGCUGCCUGGGGUAUUGCUGACGCUGAGGAACGAAAGCCAGGGGAGCGAACGGGAUUAGAUACCCCGGUAGUCCUGGCUGUAAACGAUGAGUACUAUGUGUCGGGGGCUUCGACCCCCUCGGCGCCGCCGCUAACGCAUUAAGUACUCCGCCUGGGGACUACGGCCGCAAGGUUAAAACUCA